rnacentral:rRNA from 1 species
UACGGAGGGAGCUAGCGUUGUUCGGAAUUACUGGGCGUAAAGCGCACGUAGGCGGCUUUUUAAGUCAGGGGUGAAAUCCCGGGGCUCAACCCCGGAACUGCCCUUGAAACUGGAGAGCUAGAAUCUUGGAGAGGCGAGUGGAAUUCCGAGUGUAGAGGUGAAAUUCGUAGAUAUUCGGAAGAACACCAGUGGCGAAGGCGACUCGCUGGACAAGUAUUGACGCUGAGGCACGAAGGCCAGGGGAGCAAACGGG